UCGUUUUGUUUCAGUCCAGUAACAGGACCUUUCAAAAUCGUUGAAACUUCAAGAGAAUUGGGGCAGGAUGUAGUAUUAGGAUAUGCUUUUGAACAAAUUAAUAAUUUGUUUGAGGAACCGCUUAAAUCUGUAUCUGCACUUGGUAUAUUAACGGCAGGUCAAUUGAGCAAUGAAAAGUUUAAAAUCCGCAAAUCAGAUAUUCAAUAUAAAUUUUUAGUAUCCCAUACAAUAAUGAGUUUCUUUUGAUCCCAAUUCUACACCACUUAUUUUACGAGUUUUCGAACUAAUCAUUUAAAACCCCCACAUAUACAUACAUAUCUAUUUACUUUACUCAAAUAAUAUCGCUAUACAGUUCCAAUCGCCAAACUUAAAAACCUUAAAAAAUCGAAAAUGGACUUAAAUAAUAAUCCCAACGGCUCACUGAAAGAACAAAAACGAAUUUUCGUUAUUGACCGAAAAAAAUUGAGGACUACCACUACUUUUAAUAAUUCUGUACCAUACCCUGGGACGCAUAAAAUUGACAUAAGAUCGAAAAUGCUUUCUGUAGUUCCGCCCACCUCCCAACCAGGAAUAAUGCCAUCCAAUACUGUUGCCAAAUCUUCAAUUGGUACCGACUCCUUUAAUUUAUUGACAGCAAGGACCCAAGGCACAGGAAGUUUUACAUCAGCCCAUUUGACAGAGGCUUUUUCUACUGCUAAUCAUUCUGCUGUGGCGAAAUACGUGAAACUUCCUUCAAUUUCCACUUCCAUAAAAGACAAUCUUAGACAAGUUGCAGUUGAUCAAGCAAGCUGUCCAGUUGAAACCGAAACUGCUUAACCGAAAACUGACAAUAUGACAGCUUCCAGAACUGCCAGCCAUCCCACUUCAUAUAGAGAAGCUCUUACUCAGAUUAUCGGUCUAUGCAACACCAUUUUGGAGAGACAAAGCAAGGAGGCUAAGGUCGAUGAUUUGCAAAAGAAGAUAACCGAAAAUAUGCCAGAUCGAUGCGAGGGGGUGGCUCAGCAAAAAACUCUUCGAGAAUGCAAAGUGCUAAUCAAAAAGGUGCAUCAGUCAUUCUGUCGAAUAAAUGGGGGCGCUGUUACUGAGCUCCAAUUGGAAAUUUCAGAUGUUCUCCCAUUAAAAACCAUUGACGCAUUGUUUGAUGUGGAGGAGAAACUGCAAAGCAAUGAAUAUAAAGAGGAAAUGAUAUCUUACAUAUUCACAUUGGGCGCUGCGACUGGAAAUAUUGAUGGGACGAUAAAAAAAAUGUUUUCGGACGAAUUGUUAAUAAAUUUUAAUUGGGAUGGAAGGUGUGGAAAGAGAGCGUUAAUGAAACUUAACGCUGUCGAGUUUAAAUAGCGGCAAAUCAGCU